CGUUAAGAAUUUUACAAUGCCCAUUUGCUGAAAAGCCUGGCAAUUCAUAAAUGUUAAAUUUUAUUUAACCCAGAAUUUCCGAAACUCUUGUUUGACUACAAAAGCUUUACUGUUUUUUCUCUUUCUUCUUCUUUUUUUUUAAAGAUCAUAGUCCAAUGCAGCCUUGAACUCCUGGGCUCAAGUGAUCCUCUCACCUCAGCCUCCUAAGCAGCUAGGAUUACAGGCGCCAGAUGUCCAUGUAUUAGGUGUUUGGUUUACUUUAUGAAAUUUCAGAGCCAGAGGAA